rnacentral:rRNA from 1 species
AACUCUCGGCAAUGGAUAUCUCAGCUCUCGCAUCGAUGAAGAACGUAGCAAAAUGAGAUACUUGGUGUGAAUUGCAGAAUCUCGUGAACCAUCGAGUCUUUGAACGCAAGUUGCACCCCAAGCCUUCUGGCCGAGGGCAUGUCUGCUUGGGUGUCA